AGUGAACGCUGGCGGUACGCCUAACACGUGCCAGUCGAACGGCAGCACAGUAAGAGCUUGCUCUUACGGGUGGCGAGUGGCGGACGGGUGAGGAAUACAUCGGAAUCUACUUUUUCGUGGGGGAUAACGUAGGGAAACUUACGCUAAUACCGCAUACGACCUACGGGUGAAAGCAGGGGAUCUUCGGACCUUGCGCGAUUGAAUGAGCCGAUGUCGGAUUAGCUAGUUGGCGGGGUAAAGGCCCACCAAGGCGACGAUCCGUAGCUGGUCUGAGAGGAUGAUCAGCCACACUGGAACUGAGACACGGUCCAGACUCCUACGGGAGGCAGCAGUGGGGAAUAUUGGACAAUGGGCGCAAGCCUGAUCCAGCCAUACCGCGUGGGUGAAGAAGGCCUUCGGGUUGUAAAGCCCUUUUGUUGGGAAAGAAAAGCAGCAGGUUAAUACCCCGCUGUUCUGACGGUACCCAAAGAAUAAGCACCGGCUAACUUCGUG
rnacentral:rRNA from 1 species